AGCGAACGCUGGCGGCAGGCCUAACACAUGCAAGUCGAACGGAUCCUUCGGGAUUAGUGGCGGACGGGGGAGUAACACGUGGGAACGUGCCCUUUGGUUCGGAACAACUCAGGGAAACUUGAGCUAAUACCGGAUGUGCCCUUCGGGGGAAAGAUUUAUCGCCAUUGGAGCGGCCCGCGUCUGAUUAGCUAGUUGGUGAGGUAACGGCCCACCAAGGCGACGAUCAGUAGCUGGUCUGAGAGGAUGAUCAGCCACACUGGGACUGGGACACGGCCCAGACUCCUACGGGAGGCAGCAGUGGGGAAUCUUGCGCAAUGGGCGAAAGCCUGACGCAGCCAUGCCGCGUGAAUGAUGAAGGUCUUAGGAUUGUAAAAUUCUUUCAGCGGGGACGAUAAUGACGGUACCCGCAGAAGAAGCUCCGGCUAACUUCGUG
rnacentral:rRNA from 1 species